AUGUACCACGCGAACAUUGCGGUUCCGAGCGUGCCGUAAGCGCCCACCUGACAGCGGCUCGCUACGUUGUGUUAGCC
rfam:Xanthomonas oryzae pv. oryzae KACC10331, complete genome.